rfam:Plautia stali symbiont DNA, complete genome.
CGUAUGAUGGCGCAGCCAGCCCGCGUCGCAUCAGGCCUGACGCCGGCGGCCUGUGUUUCGACACAGCGCAAACCUCCUCACCGGAUUUU